rnacentral:lncRNA from 1 species
CGACUUAACAAGAAAUGAAUACCUCAAUGCUUUACCCAUGGGAGCGCUGCAAUCUCAUUUUGAGAAUUGUAUAUUUGUGUAACCUAAUGUGUGCUCUCAAGAUGUGUAGAAUGUUUUCACUCAGUCUCAUUUUCGAUUGGUAAGAUAUGUUAUCACGUGAUCCGUUAUUGUCGUCACAUAUUUUGAAUUCAAUUGCAAUUGAUUUAAAAAUUUCUUUGAAACUUUUCUCAUGAUCAAAAAGUGUUCUAUACAUGUUAUAUAGAAUAUUAUCGUUUAACAUAUUUCAUCAAUAAUAAGAUUUUUGCAUCUCAAGGAUUGAAGCAUGGUUUCUGAUAUGAUGUGCACGAUUUUGGGCGGAAUAUCCAGCUUUUCGACCGCGGGGGAGGUUGGAGAGGGGAUUGAUGCUCCUUUUUGAAUUGACUGUUCCUGAAUUUGAACUUGUGUGUGGCGACAGCGAUGCUGGAUCGCUUGACUGUUUAUGUCCGAUCCUGUCCCCAGUCGGGGGUCGCGGGUUGGACUCUUUUCGGCCGCGCGCCGCCUGUCUUCGUUGCCCUGUUCCUUCUUCAUGGAUCCCCGUCUUUUCCCCGCCUGCGUCAUCGGUCGCUGUCGCUCAGUUUUAUAUAGUAUUGUGUUCUAUUUUGAAGAAUUUUUGUGCUAAUUUUGUAUAUAUUUCGGAGGAGCUGAGUGGUCCGCAUUGUUGAAAGGGUCAUUGGCCUUUGUUGGUCCAUUCAUGGGGGAGUACAGUAUUGUGAAGGCGUUGUGCGUGAUUUUGCUGGCG